rnacentral:rRNA from 1 species
GAUGAACGCUAGCGGCAGGCUUAAUACAUGCAAGUCGAACGGGAUUGAGAAGCUUGCUUUUCAUGAGAGUGGCGCACGGGUGCGUAACACGUAUGCAACCUACCUUGUCCAGGGGGAUAGCCCGUUGAAAGACGGAUUAAGACCGUAUAACAUUGAGCUGUGGCAUCACAAAUCAAUCAAAUAUUUAUAGGGACAAGAUGGGCAUGCGCCUGAUUAGGUAGUUGGCGGGGUAAUGGCCCACCAAGCCGACGAUCAGUAGGGGAUCUGAGAGGAUGACCCCCCACACUGGUACUGAGACACGGACCAGACUCCUACGGGAGGCAGCAGUAAGGAAUAUUGGUCAAUGGGCGAAAGCCUGAACCAGCCAUGCCGCGUGCAGGAAGACGGCCCUACGGGUUGUAAACUGCUUUUAUACGGGAAUAACCCCGGUUUCGUGAAACCGGCUGAAUGUACCGUAAGAAUAAGGAUCGGCUAACUCCGUGCCAGCAGCCGCCGUAA